rnacentral:rRNA from 1 species
AGUGAAGCGGCAACAGCUCAAAUUUGAAAUCUGGCUCCCUCGGCGUCCUAGUUGUUUUUUGAAGAUACUUUUGCUGGGGUGGCCUCCUGGUUCCCUGCCUGGGAACGGCCUACAGGGUGGGAGACAAUCCUGGUGGGAUGCGACGUCCCCGCCCAUGUCCUGCGCCUUCUACAAUUCUAGUUGUUUGGGAAUGCAACUCUAAGGGGGUGGUAAAUUUCAUCUAAAGCUAAAUAUUGGCCCGAUACCGAUAGCGUACAAUUAUAGUGAUAGAAAGAUGAAUAUAACUUUAAAAAUAAAGUGAACCUGAACUUGAAAUUGUUGAAAGGGAAAGGUUCUGGAUCGGACUCGAUUAGUCGUGUGCCGUUCGCCCCUGUGCCGGUGUCCUCCCCUCGCGGCGGGCCAUUUUCCCUUGGGGAGGCUGGUGAAGGGAACGUGGAAUGCUUCAGGGAGUGGGGUGUCCCAUUGCCUGGUACCCUGUGGGGGACUGAGGUUCCCGCAUCUGCACUUAUGCUGGCAUAUUGGUCAUCAGCUACCCAUCUUGCCGUCUUGACCACGGACCAAGGAGUCUAACCUCUAUGCGAGUGGUCGGGUGUCAAACCCGUCCGCGCAAUGAAAGCGAACGGAGGUGAGAGCCCUUCUGAGCGCAUCAUCAACCGAUCCUGAUGUCUUCGGAUGGAUUUGAGUAAGA